rnacentral:rRNA from 1 species
GCCUAAAGCGUCCGUAGCCGGCUUUGUAAGUUUUCGGUUAAAUCUAUAUGCUCAACAUAUAGGCUGCCGGAAAUACUGCAAAGCUAGGGAGUGGGAGAGGUAGACGGUAUUCGGUAGGAAGGGGUAAAAUCCUUUGAUCUAUCGAGGACCACCUGUGGCGAAGGCGGUCUACCAGAACACGUUCGACGGUGAGGGAUGAAAGCUGGGGGAGCAAACCGGAUUAGAUACCCGGGUAGUCCCAGCUGUAAACGAUGCAGACUCGGUGAUGCGCUGGCUUGUGGCCAGUGCAGUGCCGCAGGGAAGCCGUUAAGUUUGCCGCCUGGGAAGUACGUACGCAAGUAUGAAACUUAAAGGAAUUGGCGGGGGAGCACCACAAGGGGUGAAGCCUGCGGUUCAAUUGGAGUCAACGCCAGAAAUCUUACCCGAAGAGACAGCAGAAUGAAGGUCAAGCUGGAGACUUUACCAGACAAGCUGAGAAGUGGUGCAUGGCCGUCGCCAGCUCGUGCCGUGAGAUGUCCUGUUAAGUCAGGUAACGAGCGAGAUCCCUGCCUCUAGUUGCCACCAUUACUCUCAGGAGUAGUGGGGCGAAUUAGCGGGACCGCCGCAGUUAAUGCGGAGGAAGGAAGGGGCCACGGCAGGUCAGUAUGCCCCGAA